UACGUAGGGGGCAAGCGUUGUCCGGAAUCAUUGGGCGUAAAGCGCGCGUAGGCGGACCUGCAAGUCGGGGGUGAAAGCCCGAGGCUCAACCUCGGAACUGCCUUCGAUACUGCGGGUCUCGAGUCCGGGAGAGGUGAGUGGAAUUCCUGGUGUAGAGGUGAAAUUCGUAGAUAUCAGGAGGAACACCGGUGGCGAAAGCGGCUCUCUGGCCCGAUACUGACGCUCAUGUACGAAAGCGUGGGGAGCAAACAGGG
rnacentral:rRNA from 1 species